CAGGGUCUCUUCUACAAUGAGGAGUUCCAGUUUUUCUUUAAGUGUAAAUGUUGGAUUUAUUGCCUGUCAGCAGUACAAUCAAUAAGUGCAGUCCAUUAAUAAUCAAUGUAGGGAGAAGAGAGGUAGUUUGAGCAGGAGCCAAUUAAUCUAAGAUGAAAUUGCAACAACAGUCCACUUGGAUGAUUGAAUCAUAUUAUUUUGCAUGUGAAGUCAA